GACGAACCGAGCGAACGUUGUUCGGAAUAACUGGGCUUAAAGGGCGCGUAGGCGGGCCGCCAAGUUCGAGGUGAAAUCCUCCGGCUCAACCGGAGAACUGCCUCGAAUGCUGGAGGCCUCGAGGCGGGUAGGGGCAUGCGGAACUGUGGGUGGAGCGGUGAAAUGCGUUGAUAUCCACAGGAACUCCGGUGGCGAAGGCGGCAUGCUGGACCCGAUCUGACGCUGAGGCGCGAAAGCCAGGGGAGCAAACGGG
rnacentral:rRNA from 1 species